rnacentral:rRNA from 1 species
UACAGAGGUCUCAAGCGUUGUUCGGAUUCAUUGGGCGUAAAGGGUGUGUAGGUGGCGCGCUAAGUCGGGUGUGAAAUUUCGGAGCUUAACUCCGAAACUGCAUUCGAUACUGGCGUGCUUGAGGACUGGAGAGGAGACUGGAAUUUACGGUGUAGCAGUGAAAUGCGUAGAUAUCGUAAGGAAGACCAGUGGCGAAGGCGGGUCUCUGGACAGUUCCUGACACUGAGCCACGAAGGCCAGGGGAGCAAACGGG